AUUGGGUCAGUCUCUUAUAUCAUUACUAAUUAAACUCUUUUAAAGCGCUCUCGAUUUAAUGGGUAUUCCAUGGGUCGGGUGCCUCUUUCGCUGGGUGGUUGUUGAGGGGUUUCUCAUUCCAUUCGCUUUCAUGUGUCUCCAUGGCUUCUGCUGGAGCUGCGUGCUUCUCCUUCUUCAAGGGCCUAGCUGCCUUUGCCGCCUUCCGGUCGACUGAUGUGUCUCCUCCGUGGGCCGCUGUUGCUGAUGCCGUUGAUGUCUUGCUUCUUGCUGUGUCUUUCUUGUGCUCCGAAGGGCGCUGGUCGGGUGUCCUGGUGGUGACUCCUGCAUGGACGGCUUCUUCUCCUGUGG
rnacentral:lncRNA from 1 species